UUUAGGUGCAGAUACGGGUUUCCGUGUCCAACAUUUAACCGUCCGUCUUAUUUGAAAAAAAAGUCAUACAUAAAGUACUAUUUAUUUUUAUCAUCUAAUAUAACAAAAAUACUACUUAUACAAAAAUUUUAAAUAAAACGGACGGUCAAAUGUUGAACAUAUAAACCCACAACUGCACUUAAA
rnacentral:pre_miRNA from 1 species